rnacentral:lncRNA from 1 species
GACACUACAACAUCUAAACAAUGCCCUGAGCCUUUCCAAGCAUAUUGAAACUAGAUACACACAGAUUUGCAUCUUCAGUACUACCCUUAUUAUCAGGAGCCAACUAAUAAUUGGAGCACUACGAUGCCGAUUUUGCACAACGGCGAGACUGAAAAACUGGAGCAGGUGCUCGAACAAACUAAGGAAAUCCUAUAGAAAUUUGCAAAAUGGUCAUUUCCCCAGCGAGUGCACUACUAUAGGUUCACCCGCUCAAAUAUCACAAGUCCUGCCGCCAACUCACGGGACAGCCGGAACUAGAUUCGCAGGGAGGAGAGAACUUUAUCCCACUUUUGUUCAGGGUUGAGGUCCAGAGUACUGUGAGAUGCUUCCUCCACUACAACUACUAUAACCAAUAUAAAACACUCAAAAAGCAACAACGUGACGAAAACCCAGCGCAUGUACCAACAUGUACGCCUCAACUGUUUCGUUCACCAACCAGCAGAUGGUGGUUGUACCAUUUGACAGAAAUAUACAGUGAACUCGUGCUCUAUUUCGGAUCACUGAAGCUCUGAAUCCAAAUCUCAUGUCCCUCCUUCUCUCUCUAUUGUCUAGAUAUUGAGAAGUAAAACUACGCCUGAAUAGAGAUGAGUGUGCGUGUAUGUAAGCGCCUGCAUCUAUACGUGAACAUCUUUAUAAGUGAAGAAAACUUGACAGGUGGUGGAAUGGAAAUCUGUUAUUGGAUUCUACUACCUUGGGAGAAGGCUUUCUUAUGUGACCCCAAGAAAAUUUCUAUCCCUCUUGAAUCCUGAUGACAGUUCGCCAGAGUAAUUAACCAAUUGUUAUUUUUUUUCAAUCGGGUUCUACUCUUUGCUUUUAGGUAAAAUUUGGUCAAAAAUAAAAUAUUAUUAUUACUGAUUAGAGACUCAUUUUGGAGCCUUUCACGAGAUGCAUAGAACAAAAAGAUAAAUUCUAGAAAUUCUUACAAAAGAAAAAGUACCCGGAUAUCCUAGAAAUUCUCACAAAAGUCUCCGUCCAUCAAUCCGAUAAUCUUUAUUUAUCAGUGACAAUAAUAGUCAUUAGACCUACUAUGUUUUUAAAAAGUUAUUCACACUCUGCCGUUAUAAAAAUAUUAUAAAGUAAUCCCCUAAAUCUAUAUCUAAAUUACACACCUUUGCUACUAUGAAAAUGACCUAAAGUAACCCCUUAAUCUUCACCACUUAUGCCAUUAUAAAACAGAAUCUAAAUUAACAUUCUAAAUUUGCAUAGAAAUUACCCACAUAUCCUAUUAUUAAAAAUAAACCAAAGUAACUCCUA